rnacentral:tRNA from 1 species
UUCCUGGUGGUCCAGUGGCUAGGACUCUAGGCUUCUAAUCUAGGGGGCCUGUUCAAUUCCUGGUUAGGGAA